rnacentral:rRNA from 1 species
GAUGAACGCUAGCUACAGGCUUAACACAUGCAAGUCGAGGGGAAACGAUGAGAGAGCUUGCUCUCUUAGUCGUCGACCGGCGCACGGGUGAGUAACGCGUAUCCAACCUGCCUCUGACCAAGGGAUAACCCGUCGAAAGUCGGACUAAUACCUUAUGCAGUCGUCGGAAGUCAUCUGAUGACGACGAAAGAUUUCAUCGGUGAGAGAUGGGGAUGCGUCUGAUUAGCUUGUUGGCGGGGUAACGGCCCACCAAGGCGACGAUCAGUAGGGGUUCUGAGAGGAAGGUCCCCCACAUUGGAACCGAGACCCGGUCCACACUCCUACGGGAGGCAGCAGUGAGGAAUAUUGGUCAAUGGGCGUAAGCCUGAACCAGCCAAGUAGCGUGCAGGAUGACGGCCCUAUGGGUUGUAAACUGCUUUUAUGCGGGGAUAAAGUGAGGGACGUGUCCUUCAUUGCAGGUACCGCAUGAAUAAGGACCGGCUAAUUCCGUG